rnacentral:rRNA from 1 species
AUUGAACGCUGGCGGUAUGCUUAACACAUGCAAGUCGAACGGUAGCAGGCCUUCGGGCGCUGACGAGUGGCGGACGGGUGAGUAACGCGUAGGAAUCUGCCUGUUAGUGGGGGACAACGUGGGGAAACCCACGCUAAAUACCGGCAUACGCCCUACGGGGGAAAGGAGGGGACCUUCGGGCCUUUCGCUAACAGAUGAGCCUGCGUUAGAUUAGCUAGUUGGUGGGUAAAGGCCUACCAAGGCGACGAUCUAUAGCUGGUCUGAGAGGACGAUCAGCCACACUGGGACUGAGACACGGCCCAGACUCCUACGGGUGGCUG